GGGGUGUUAGCUCAGUGGUAGAGCAAUUGACUGCAGAUCUAUAGGUUAUCGGUUCAAAUCCGGAACGCCCCU
rnacentral:tRNA from 1 species